AAAGAGGAAGUAGGGAGUUCCCUCUUUCUGGGAAGAGACUGGGGAAGGUGGACUGAAGAGAGCCACAGGGAUGGAAUUAAUCCCUGUGUGAGCCCUGAAGAGGGGGCAAGGCACAAAGAGGGAGGCCUCAGGGGCUGGUGGUCUAGCAGAGAAAGAAGGAGCUGGGAGGGCCUAGGGAGAAGCCAGAGGCCUGGGAACCAGAGGAGAGGCCAUAUUAAGCACAGGCAGCAGGGAAGUACCACAAGGGCCUUGGAGGUCAGAAGAGGCCCAGGGAAACAGCAAUGUGGUGGAAGGAGCAGACCUAGCUUGUUAAUACAGGGCCCCUGGGCUGGAACCCAGAGCUGAGGGUGGGCCUGGCUUCCCCAGCCUGCCCUGCGAAAGAGAUGUACAAGCCUGAUAUAAGGAUUGUUGUGCUCAGAACAGGAGAGACUUUAAAGUGGUCUGUCCAGAGGGCUGAGUCACGAGAACAGGUGGCUCACUGUGGGACUCGAGUGAUUGCUGGCAGGGGGUGCUACAGAGGCGAGAGCUGCCAUGAAGGGACACUCUAAUGAACCCAGACAGACUGAAACAGUUGCUGUUCCAGUGCACACAAGAGAGUGAAGGAUCUGGAGAUGCCACACAGGGAGUCUGUACCUGUACAGGAGAUUUGGAGGACAUUUUUGUGUGAACUUGCUCCAGCUCACAAGAUGGUUUUUUUGGCUACAGGGAUUCAGUAGCCACUGUCCUACUUCACCACCCCAAUGUGAGUGCAUUGGUGGCGGCUCCUGCUGCUUCAGCAGCUGUGAACCUGGAGUUGCUCCACGGCCUGGUAGAGUGAAGGAUUCUGUUCUCCACCAUUGCAGGACUCACAACGUCGGUGCUGGCUUCUUCCGGCUGUUGUGUGGGGAAGAUUUGCCCUUUUGCAUGAGUUUAAGUGGGGAUUAAGUACUCCCUACACAGGAUUGAGUCCACCCAAAAGGUGAAAUACAACAUACAGGAAGCUAACAUUGCUAUUGGAUCCUGCGUUUUUCAAUUUCCUGCCUUAAGUACUGAUCCAAACCCACUGAAAUCAAGGGGCUCCUCCCUCUUGAUUUUAGUGAAUUUUGGAUCAGGCCCUUUUUGAAUUUCAAGUGCCCAGUCCUGCAUCUAGGGUCAAGGUCUAUCUAUGCAACCUUAAUGUUGCAUUUACAACUGUUUUUUUGGCAUUUAUUGUGCCAGAUUCUCAGUUGGAGCUUAGUCUUUCAAAGUGCUGAACAUUCUAACUCUGAUUCAGCAAAACAAUUAAGCACAUGCUUAACUUUAAGACCCUGAGUAGUUCCAUUGACUUGCAGUGGAACUACUCACAUGCCUAAAGUUAAGCACAUGCUUAGGGACCGAAUUCAUUCACGAUGUAACUCCUCUGCAGUAGAUUGAGUAUCAUUAGAGAUGAAUCUACCCUUAAGUGCUUUGCUGGAGCAAGGCCAGAGUGCUCAGCAUUUUGCAGGAUGGGACCCCUGGUGCUAAUCGGUAUUACUCCAUUGACCCAGGCUUAUGAGAUGGCCUAAUGUAUUUCAUUCCUGUUAUGUGCAGUAUGGAGAAACAAGCUAUUCAGAUUCAAGUUAAACAUUGCAUCAGUAUUUUUAUUUUACUGACACUAUGUGUAUACAAUUAUGGUACACAUCAUCGUGUUGCAAUGAUCUUUCCAGUUCUAGUAAUCUGUAAAUUUUUAUAUCAAUUACAUGUUCAGGAGUAAAAGUAGCUCAGCUAUUGCACAUAAACUGACAGAAUGAAAAACAAUUAAUUUUUGUUAUCUCUUCUUUCAGUCUUUUUCAGUUUGCUUCCUCCUUGAUCCCUCUUCAACACUUGAAAAGAACUAGACAUAUUUUGUCAUGUACUAAGGGGGAAAUUUACUCCUCUGCAGAGGACCUGCCCUGGGCAUAUGCAGCAAAGGCCACAAGUCCUUAAAAUAGGGCUGAUAUGUGAUUUAAGGGCAUUCUGCACAGGGGUGAAUUUCAUCCCAUCAAGUCCCACAGGAGGGUUAAUGGUGCAUAGGGCUGAUGUGGAUUUAAGGAUGUUCUGCACAAGGGUGAAUUUAAUCAGAACUGACUACUGUGCAAACAUCCAAAAAUACUAACCUAACUACUGUGAAACAGAUUAGACUCUAUCAAUACUAUAUGUGACACCUUAAAUCCGCAGCAUUUACAAUUUGUUGCAAAUUGUUCAUUAAGUUUUCUAUAUAUACCUCCUGUUGCCACAGCACAGGAGGGACAGAUUAGGAUAACAUAAAAUAGUUAUAAAUAAGCUUUAGGAAUUAAAACAGUGGGGUGCAAAAUGACUACCUUCAGGUUGAGAAAAAUAAGAUUUUUAAAGGAUUUAUACAAAGUCUAACAUAUCCUCUCCUUAGUGGUUUAUUGGUUUAAUUCUCAAACCAGGUGUGUUUGGUGCAUGUAGAGGGAGCUGAGCUGAGAAAGUAAUUGUCAACAGGUUCAGGAUGCGUGAAGAACUCAAAAUUACUGCAUCCGCCCCCUACAGAGAAAAUGGAUUAAUAAUUCUUCCCUCCCCCCCAGAAUGAGCUUGAAGUGACUUCACCUAUUUGUCCUCCCUUUGUGUCAGAACAUAAAGACAAAUUUCAAUUUAGUUCAGGUCAGUGAAUGUUAUGAUUAUUGUUGGUUUUAAGUAAUUUAUUUUCCUUGAUACGUAAUUUAUUCUGUAAUCGGAGAAGUAUACAACAUAGUUCCCUUUGCAGAUUUUUGGGAUGCUGCCAUCAAUUCCUUUAGCACUAUGAGUUCCUACUCACUCUGAGUGAAAUUCACACCCACACAAGGGCUAUGUACCAUUUAAGUUCCACUUAAACUAUAUGGACUUUCAAGGCUAUUUUUCUUGCUUGAAUUCUGAGAGGGUGAAUUUCACUCCUGUGCAGCACAAGGUCAAUGCACCGUUUAAAUUUCACUUAAGCCCUAAGGCAUUAGGUUGUUGGCUAAUUUCUGGGAAACAUAAUGGUAGAAGUGGGUUAAAUGAGGUUUAAGUGCCACAUAGACCUUGUGCUGCUCCUUUUCCCAGGUGUGAAUUCCACCCAUUCAGAAUUCAAGCAAGAACGACAGCCUUAAAAAGGGAACUGAAUUACAAGAGAGGAAAUGGAUAUACUGGUAGAAUGGCCCUUUGUACAAAUUGUAAUCCUUUCAACUCUUCAUCCGCAGGGUCUGGAAUCAUCUGUCCUUCUUAAUUUGAGAAAACCUCAUGCGCCAACCAACUGGAAAUGUAACCUCUUGCUUUGCUCUUGUUUAAUUGAUUUGAGAAAAUAAUUAAAAGCAGAAUAUUGCAUAUAAAUGGUAGCACUCUCUCAAACUAGCGAAUGACUCUGAACGCUUAUGGUGAAUCAAACGUAGGCAGCUCAAUAGUCCCAGAGGGAGGUUAUUUAUUUGCAAAGCAGUUAAUCUUUUAGGCUGUCACUUCUAAGUCUUUUUGACAGUUCAUGCUGUACUGAUACUAGUAAAAAUCUCGAGUCUGUAUUGAUUUAUUGAAGAUUUAAAGUAGAUUUGUUUCCAAAAGCUAUAUUCUCAAACAGCAAGAGGUACAGAUAUGUCGGUACAUUUGCAGUCAGACUCAAAUUCAGAUUUUUCUCGUGGUGAUGAACUUUUAGGAUAUAAUCUUCAAAAGUGACUUAGGCACAUUGGAAAAAUCCACCCUUAGGCUCCUACGUGUCAUGCCUAGGCAGCCAAGU